rnacentral:piRNA from 1 species
UGAUUCUUUUUGAAAAUGAACAUGAUGCU